CGAUAAGUUGAUUACAGAGUGAUGAGGUAUGUCAAUUCAAAUUCAUCGAUUUAGGGUUCAUAAUUUUCUGGGUUUAUUUGAUUGGGUCCCGAUUUCUAUUUCCUCUAGUUUAGUUCAAGUUUUCUGGGUUGGGGAUGUAUACUUGAUGGCUAAUAACUUGAAUUGUUUCAAUUUUCAGUGGUUUCGAACAUACAAAAGUGAAUAUUAAGGGUUCUUAGACUUCAAAAUCGAUUUGGGAUAGAUAAAAACGAAAGGAUUUGUUUAAACUUAACUAACCACGUGAUGUUAUCUUUUAACCCCAGUUAAUGAUUCCGUGACCAUCGUUAACGGCUGUUAAGUCGUACGUAUCGAUUUACCAAUAAUAAUUAAAGGAGGCUUUUUUAAUACAACGUAAAUUAAACCAUGUAUUUUUAUUCCAAAUUUAAUACUACACGAAUUAAA
rnacentral:lncRNA from 1 species